AUUGAACGCUGGCGGCAUGCUUUACACAUGCAAGUCGGACGGCAGCACAGAGAAGCUUGCUUCUUGGGUGGCGAGUGGCGAACGGGUGAGUAAUAUAUCGGAACGUACCGAGUAAUGGGGGAUAACUAAUCGAAAGAUUAGCUAAUACCGCAUAUUCUCUGAGGAGGAAAGCAGGGGACCUUCGGGCCUUGCGUUAUUCGAGCGGCCGAUAUCUGAUUAGCUAGUUGGUGGGGUAAAGGCCUACCAUGGCGACGAUCAGUAGCGGGUCUGAGAGGAUGAUCCGCCACACUGGGACUGAGACACGGCCCAGACUCCUACGGGAGGCAGCAGUGGGGAAUUUUGGACAAUGGGCGCAAGCCUGAUCCAGCCAUGCCGCGUGUCUGAAGAAGGCCUUCGGGUUGUAAAGGACUUUUGUCAGGGAAGAAAAGGCUGUUGCUAAUACCGACAGCUGAUGACGGUACCUGAAGAAUAAGCACCGGCUAACUACGUG
rnacentral:rRNA from 1 species